rnacentral:lncRNA from 1 species
CAGUUACAAAGAAUGAAUCUAUAUCUAUGUACGGAAGUUGCUGGCCGCUCAACUGUUCGAGCGCAAUGCAGUAGUGGUUGGUUCCGAUUCGACAAGGGUAGAAUGCCUGGUCGAAGGUCCAAUACAGUAGGUAGCAGGCAUGUUCGUUUUGGCUCAAGAGCGAGAAGGAUAAAUAAAUAGGCGAUGCGUCAUCCUUGCUGCUACGUACGUUGACCUUGACUUGAUGAAUUCAUCCAAUUGAACCCACACUCAAAGG